rnacentral:rRNA from 1 species
UACAGAGGGUGCGAGCGUUGUUCGGAAUUAUUGGGCGUAAAGGGCGCGUAGGCGGCCUGUUAAGUCGAGCGUGAAAUCCCCGGGCUCAACCCGGGAACUGCGUCCGAUACUGGCAGGCUUGAAUCCGGGAGAGGGAUGUGGAAUUCCAGGUGUAGCGGUGAAAUGCGCAGAUAUCGGGAAGAACACCCGUGGCGAAGGCGGCUCUCUGGGACGGUACUGACGCUGAGACGCGAAAGCGUGGGGAGCGAACAGG